CCUACGGGAGGCAGCAGUAGGGAAUCUUUCACAAUGGGCGAAAGCCUGAAGGAGCAACGCCGCGUGAAGGAUGAAGGCCCUCGGGUUGUAAACUGCUUUUAUACACGAGAAAUAUGAGGGUAACUUAUGACUAAGGAUCGGCUAACUACGUGCCAGCAGCCGCGGUCAUACGUAGGAGCCGAGCAUUAUCCGGAGGGACUGGGUGUAAAGAGUUGCGUAGAGGGGAUAAUGAGUAGCUAGUGAAAACUGGUGGCUCAACAAUUCAGACUAUUAGCUAAACUGUUAAGCUCGAGACCGUUAGAGGUAACUGGAAUUUCUGGUGUAGGGGUGAAAUCCAUAGAUAUUA
rnacentral:rRNA from 1 species